rnacentral:sRNA from 1 species
UGUGGCAGGUGCCUGUAGUCCCAGCUACUCAGGAGAAUGAGGCAAGAGAAUCACUUAAGUUCAAGAGUUUGAGGUUGCUAUAAGCUGUGAUGCCACGGCACUCUACUGAGGGCAACAUAGUAGGACUGCCUCAAAACAAACAGCAUGGUGCGGAGGUGUCAUCCAUCAGCUCCACUAGUUAUGCAGGCAGUGUGUGUCUUAGCGCGCCAACCACACAAGGCUCAUUCUCACCGCUGC